UCGUGGGGAAACGGCAUUAUGUGCUUGCACAUUCUGGACGUCGACCGGCGCACGGGUGAGUAUCGCGUAUCCAACCUGCCCCUUACUUGGGGAUACCCGUUGAAAGACGGGCUAAUACCCGAUGUGUUUCAUUGACGGCAUCCGAUAUGAAACAAAGGUUUUUCCGGUAAGGGAUGGGGAUGCGUCUGAUUAGCUUGUUGGCGGGGCAACGGCCCACCAAGGCGACGAUCAGCAGGGGUUCUGAGAGGAAGGUCCCCCACAUUGGAACUGAGACACGGUCCAAACUCCUACGGGAGGCAGCAGUGAGGAAUAUUGGUCAAUGGACGCAAGUCUGAACCAGCCAAGUAGCGUGCAGGAUGACGGCCCUAUGGGUUGUAAACUGCUCUAAUGUGGGAAUAAAGUGGCGCACGUGUGCGCCAUUGCAUGUACCUCAUGAAUAAGGACCGGCUAAUUCCGUGCCAGCAGCCGCGGUAAUACGGAAGGUCCGGGCGUUAUCCGGAUUUAUUGGGUUUAAAGGGAGUGUAGGCGGUCUGUUAAGCGUGUUGUGAAAUUUAGGUGCUCAACAUUUAACUUGCAGCGCGAACUGUCAGACUUGAGUACACGCAGCGCAGGCGGAAUUCAUGGUGUAGCGGUGAAAUGCUUAGAUAUCAUGAGGAACUCCGAUCGCGAAGGCAGCCUGCGGGAGUGUUACU
rnacentral:rRNA from 1 species